rnacentral:rRNA from 1 species
GAUGAACGCUGGCGGCGUGCCUAAUACAUGCAAGUCGAGCGAACAGAUAAGGAGCUUGCUCCUUUGACGUUAGCGGCGGACGGGUGAGUAACACGUGUAUAACCUACCUAUAAGACUGGGAUAACUUCGGGAAACCGGAGCUAAUACCGGAUAAUAUUUCGAACCGCAUGGUUCGAUAGUGAAAUAUGGUUUUGCUGUCACUUAUAGAUGGACCCGCGCCGUAUUAGCUAGUUGGUAAGGUAACGGCUUACCAAGGCGACGAUACGUAGCCGACCUGAGAGGGUGAUCGGCCACACUGGAACUGAGACACGGUCCAGACUCCUACGGGAGGCAGCAGUAGGGAAUCUUCCGCAAUGGGCGAAAGCCUGACGGAGCAACGCCGCGUGAGUGAUGACGGUCUUCGGAUCGUAAAACUCUGUUAUUAGGGAAGAACAUACGUGUAAGUAACUGUGCACGUCUUGACGGUACCUAAUCAGAAAGCCACGGCUAACUACGUG